GCUUACAGCCACACUACACUGCACAGCCUGUUCUCGUCUGAUCACAGAAGCUAAACAGUGUCAGGCCUGGUUAGUUCGUGGGUGGGUGACCGCCUCGGACUACCAGGUGCUGUAAGCA
ensembl:rRNA 5S_rRNA 5S ribosomal RNA